GCCGGGGUAGCUCAGCUAGGUAGAGCGCCGGGCUGUUAACCCGGUGGUCGGAGGUUCGAGUCCUCCCCCCGGCGCCA
rnacentral:tRNA from 1 species